CAUAACCAUUUUUAUUUUGUAAUCCUUUUGAUAAGUUGUCUAAUAUCUUAUAGUUAUGUGACAAUUUCAUUUAAAAUAAAAGGCUCAUGCUAAAUUUGCUUAAACAUGGUUUCAAAGGUAACUCCAUUUCAGGAAAUGACAUCAGCACCCCAUUUUUGAAGUUCAUACAAAAGCAGAGUGUAACCUCAGAGACAACCUUUCACCAAUUAUACACAUUUUUCACCAGAUGAAUGAUGUUUUUAUACAUUUCUAUUGUCAUCCUCUUAGAGGUGCCAGCAGUUGUGCUGGGAGUGGAUUUGGAUCAAGGUCCAAAGGUUGUGGUUAAAGGAGUGGGCAAAACAAUAUAUCUGCAAUGCAAAGCGGAUGGUCUGAGUGAUACAGACUAUAUCCACUGGUACCAAGUUAAAGACAAAGAAGCCCCAACGAGGCUACUCUACAUCAGUAAAGGAGGUAGUGUUGCUCGUGAUACCAGCGCUGAUGCAGCUGACUUCACAGUGGACAAAACAAAGCUUUAUGAUCUAAAACUGAGUAAUACUCAGCCGAAACAUUCUGCUGUUUAUUUCUGCGCCUACUGGGACACAAGCAGCGGCCACAGUGAGAAGAUUUACUCACAUCCUGUACAUGAACUAUACUGGUAAUGCUAUUACCAAUAUUUAUACUUAAAUUGUCAUUUUCUGUUUAAAUGGUUAAUUUCACUUAAACUUUAUGCACAUUCUGGCGGGAUGAUGGUAUUUGGAUCUGUUUAGAUUGGAAUUAUUAUUGUCCUGGUGUUCAUGGACACAUUGUACAUGUUUGUAUGAGUUUUUUUUACACACUGUAUUUAUAUUUGUGAUUUUGGAAUAUAUCAAGUGUAUCUUAAAUGCGAUGUGUAUUUCAAAAUUUUUUUUUUUAAAGAAUGGCACUUUGGCUCAGAAAGGACUGUUUCCUGAAAACUUUACACAGCGUCUGGAGUAAAUGACCUUCGGUGUGUUGUGAGAAGGCACAUGGAUCUGGACGUCUGCCGACCGAGCCACUCACUAUAGAGUCUAAAGUACUGAUGACAUCUGAACUAUCAGACUAGACAAACACCACAUAAGAGGAAAUAACUCCAUCGACUAAAUGAAGCAAGAGGAGACAAAAAUACUGUACCUACUCUGAGCAUAAAGAAAAUAACCAAGCAUGAUGUGAUAGUAUGGUCAACCUUUUCUCAGAAAACCAAGAUCAAAUCCCUGUUUUUUGUUUGUUUACCUGUGAGCAGCAACGAAUUGAUGUGUGCUUUGUUGGAACUCUGGUGACCUCCACAUGUAAUUCCUGUCUGUCGAAAUAACUCAAGUGAAAGUUUCCCCUCUAAAGACAAAAAAGUGAUCUUAUCCUCUCUGCACCAAGCGUAUUGUACUGACUUUGUUGCUCUGCAGCGAAUUUGAUCAGAAUUUGUAGUGAUAUGAUCUAUUUAACCAUUCUAAGUGUUACACGGAACUUAGGUGUUUUCUUUGAGAUAUUUCAGAUAUAAAUGUGACAUUGCAUCAACGUUAGUGUUCUCUGUAGUUUCACGGCUGGCCGUGCGCGGCUAUGGUGGUGGUAUUUGGCAUAUAUUUAAUAUUGACAGUUUAUGACCGAGACUUUCAGUGUUUAUGCCAAAUUAAUUAAAGUCCUCUUGAUGAAUAUGUGUUGAGUUCCUACAGCAUGAGAAAUGUUGUGAGAAGAAAUCUGAAAUAUUGCACCUGGCUAUUACAGCUUUGCAAAACACAACAUGUAGCUCCCUAUAAUUACAGACAUUAUGUGUAUUAUAUCCAUAAGGACAUGAACGCAGAACUUAUCCUUGAAUGGACGUGGGAAUAUUAAUUUGUGAAUGAUGUUUUAUGUUUGGAGAAAUUGUAUUUAUUCAGCUUUAUAUUUUUUAGCAAAUGAUGAGGGGGAAAGUUUGGGGUGGGAAAUCAAAACAAAAAAAAUAUGCAAUAUAUGUCAUUGGUUGAUAGAGUUAUCAUUGUCUUCAUCGUUUGGUUCUGAGACAAAAAACUGCAUCACUCCUGUGUUAGUAUUGUUAGCUUCACUGUAGAGCAUUUCUGUGAUGUACAUAUCUGUGCUAAUUUAACUGUAAAGUGAAUAAAGAAUAGUUCAUAUGAGUCGUGGUUUAUUUUCAUGAAAGGAAACAGCAUCAGUAUAAAUAUUAUGUAUACAUACUGGUAAUAGGCCUACAAAUUAAAUAUCCUGUGUUGUACAAUCACUGGUCAGGGUAGAGCAUUUAAAAUAACUUUCAGUGUAGUUAAAGGUAUAGUUCAACGUCGCUUGUUGGUCCCCAUGGACUUACACAGGGGUUUUUACCCCCCUCCAUACUAUGAAAGUCGAUGGGGACCAGCAACUGAAGGUGAGCCAUCUUUAUAAGUACAGUAACAAUUUUACAUGUGUUUGUAAUGACACGCAAAUAACGCAAGGGGGAGACAUUCAUCUUAUUUUCUCAGUUGGACAAAGUGCAUGCGUGUUAGACUUUUUUAUUUUAUUAUAUUAUUAUAUUUAUUUUAUUAUAUAAGAAAUGUUAUUUAUUUUUUAGAAAACAUUUAAAAAAACCUUAAAAUUAUUUGAGAUUUUGGGAAUGUUUUGGGAAUCAAAAUUAAAGUCGAUGGAGCAGCAGGAGCGUAACCCAGUAUCUCUACAUUCACUGCUCUGUUCUCCAAUCCCAGUGAGCAAACACUAUUUGGCAAAUAAUCCAAUUAUUUGCAGAUCAUUCAGAAUAUAGUCACAGUUCAGACUUCAGUUUAACAGUAAAUAAGCAUUGCCUUCUGCCCUAUUCUAUUAACCCUUUGUUUCAUCCUUAAAGAUUUGGCAUUUCAAUUGUGGUUUAGAAAUGGAAUCAAUUUGUUAAGGACCUUUUCAAAGAUGGCUUUUUUUUUUCAAUCCAACAGCAAAAAACGGACUUUGAGAUCCCUCAGUCCAAUUUUAUAGGUAGUGCCAGGUAACCACAUAGAAAUUAUUGCCUUUUCCUCAUUAUUGUCUAGAUGCCUCAUUCUUCUCGGAUGGAAAAGUCAAGGCCACCUCUUCAGAAACUUUUGGAAAGUUCUACAGGGUCUAGCAGCCCUUCUUAUCCUCGUGGGCUAAUAUAUUAUACUGAACAUACAGUGUGUUUUUUGGCUGUUUGGUAAAAAUAUACCCCAGCGACUUUAGACUUUAUGGGUCAUAGGGUCACAUAUGUAUGUAGUUAUGUGUGUUUCUUGUGGAAUAUAUGAAUAUGUGAGUUAAAACAAUGUUGCAUAUGUUUGUGUGGUUGUGACUGUUGCAUAAUAAUGAAAAUCAAUAAAAAUACUUUAAUAAUAAUGUCUAUUGUUACUGUAUACUAGCUUGUUUAAAACAUCUGGCCCGUCAGUUUAAUUUUUCACUUAUUUUUUUCAGCUUUCUUGUUUUCUGAUACAGUCUUACUAUACAAAUGUAAUAUAAUUAAAAUAACCUUAAGCAUUGGUAUGACCAUAACCAUUUUGUUUGUAUCUUUCUGAUGAAUUGUCUAAUAUCUUACAGUUGGAGAUAAUGUGGCAAUAAUUUCAUUUAAAAUAAAAGGCUCAUGCUAAAUUUGCUUAAACGUGGUUUCUAAGGUAAAUCCAUUUCAGGAAAUGACAUCAGCACCCUGUUUUUGAAGUUCAUACAAAAGCAGAGUGUAACCUCAGAGACAGCUUUUCACCAAUUAUACACAUUUUUCACCAGAUGAAUGAUGUUUUUAUACAUUUAUAUUAUCCUCCUAUUAGGGGUGCCAGGUAAGUGACAUUUAUAAUAAGAAGAAAAUAAAAAACAACAACAACAUCAUUAUUUAAAUGUACUGAAGUUUCUUUUGUUUAAUUAAAGCAGUUGUGCUGGGAGGGGAUUUGGAUCAAGGUCCAAAGGUUGUGGUUAAAGGAGUGGGCAAAACUGUUUAUCUGCAAUGCAAGGAUCGAAGCAAUUCAGACUAUAUCCAUUGGUACCAAGUUAAAGACAAAGAAGCCCCAACGAGGCUACUCUACAUCAGUAAAGGAGGUAGUGUUGCUCGUGAUACCAGCACUGAUGCAGCUGACUUCACAGUGGACAAAACAAAGCUUUAUGAUCUAAAACUGAGUAAUUCUCAGCCAAAACAUUCUGCUGUUUAUUUCUGCGCCUACUGGGACACAAGCUACCACAGUGAGAAGAUUUACUCACAUCCUGUACAUGAACUAUACUGGUAAUGCUAUUACCAAUAUUUAUACUUAAAUUGUCAUUUUCUGUUUAAAUGGUUAAUUUCACUUAAACUUUAUGCACAUUCUGGCGGGAUGAUGGUAUUUGGAUCUGUUUAAAUAUGGAUUUUAUUUAUCAUACAAACAUGGUGUUCAUGUUUGUAUGAGGUUUUUUUACAUACUGUAUUUAUUUUUCUGAUUUUGGAAUAUGUCGAGUGUAUCUUAAUUGUUAUGUGUAUUUAUUUAUUUAUUUUUUUUAUAAAAUGUGUAAUUGUUAUUUGUAAGGAUUAUGGGUUUGUAUAAUCAGUUACAGUUCAGUUUGAUGAAGCACUUGUUUAAAUAGGGUCAGGGGUAUUAUAGUUAUACCAACCGAAAAAUAAAACUAAUAAAUAUUUGUUCCUUGAAAUACGUAUUAUAGGAAAUUAUGAUUUGCACUCACGAGAACGGUCUUCUUUUUACGUUUUAUUUUACAUUCAUUACUGAUGGGAAAGACAACUUCCUUAAAAUACUUGAAAAUUAAACAACAGAAUAAAAUACAAUCUAAAAAACAAAGACU
rnacentral:lncRNA from 1 species